rnacentral:rRNA from 1 species
AGAGCGAACGCUGGCGGCAGGCUUAACACAUGCAAGUCGAGCGCCCCGCAAGGGGAGCGGCAGACGGGAGAGUAACACGUGGGAACGUACCUUUCAGUUCGGGACAACCAAGGGAAACUUUGGCUAAUACCGGAUACGCCCGUAAGGGGAAAGAUUUAUCGCUGAAGGAUCGGCCCGCGUCUGAUUAGCUAGUUGGUGGGGUAAUGGCCCACCAAGGCGACGAUCAGUAGCUGGUCUGAGAGGAUGAUCAGCCUCAUUGGGACUGAGACACGGCCCAGACUCCUACGGGAGGCAGCAGUGGGGAAUCUUGCGCAAUGCGCGAAAGCGUGACGCAGCAACGCCGCGUGGGGGAAGAAGGCUUUCGGGUUGUAAACCCCUUUCAGGGAGGACGAAGGCAUGGCCGUUAAUAGCGGUCCAUGCUGACGGUACUCCCACAAGAAGCCCCGGCUAACUACGUGCCAGCAGCCGU